UUACUAGCGAUUCCGACUUCAUGGAGUCGAGUUUGCAGACUCCAAUCCGGACUACGACGCACUUUAUGAGGUCCGCUUGCUCUCGCGAGGUCGCUUCUCUUUGUAUGCGCCAUUGUAGCACGUGUGUAGCCCUACUCGUAAGGGCCAUGAUGACUUGACGUCAUCCCCACCUUCCUCCAGUUUAUCACUGGCAGUCUCCUUUGAGUUCCCGGCCGAACCGCUGGCAACAAAGGAUAAGGGUUGCGCUCGUUGCGGGACUUAACCCAACAUUUCACAACACGAGCUGACGACAGCCAUGCAGCACCUGUCUCACAGUUCCCGAAGGCACCAAAGCAUCUCUGCUAAGUUCUCUGGAUGUCAAGAGUAGGUAAGGUUCUUCGCGUUGCAUCGAAUUAAACCACAUGCUCCACCGCUUGUGCGGGCCCCCGUCAAUUCAUUUGAGUUUUAACCUUGCGGCCGUACUCCCCAGGCGGUCGACUUAACGCGUUACUCCGGAAGCCACUCCUCAAAGGGAACAACCUCCAAGUCGACAUCGUUUACGGCGUGGACUACCAGGGUAUCUAAUCCUGUUUGCUCCCACGCUUUCCACC
rnacentral:rRNA from 1 species